rnacentral:lncRNA from 1 species
AUUGACUUCUUUAUAGUUGUAAGUCCUUCUUUAAUAUAUGUUAUAAAUAAUGACAUUAUGCGAAUUUUUCAGAACUGCAGUUAAUCCCUGGGGCCAGAGGAUUCCGAAUUUCCAACCCUCCCAUUUUGUUGGUCUGUCCCUUGCAUGCUAGUUUAGAGCUCUUUCAGCAAGCAACUAUGACAGCCCUGAGGAGAAAAUCCAUUCUACUGACAGGCUAUCUGGAAUACAUGCUCAAACAAUACCACAACAAAGAGAACACAGGAAACAGAGGACCACUUGUGAACAUCAUCACUCCAUCUAGAGCAGAGGACCGUGGCUGCCAGUUAACACUGACCUUUUCCGUUCCCAGGAAAGGCGUUUUUGAGGAACUGGAAAAAAGAGGAGUCAUUUGUGACAAGCGAGAACCAGAUGGCAUCCGUGUGGCCCCUGUUCCUCUCUAUAAUUCUUUCCAUGAUGUUUAUAAGUUUGUCAGACUGCUCACUGCCAUUCUUGACUCUACAGAAGCUAGCCACGUCUCCUAGAACAACUCAAGCAAAUCUCAUUUCACUGCUAUUGAAUUUUAGUCACUAAAAUGUAUCUAGAAAUUGAUUGCAUAGAACUGGUAGUAAUUAUAUAAACUUAGAUAAAACUUGAUAUAUUUUUGAUGACAGUGUUGCUGGGGAAUGUAGGGUCUCUGGGAGUGGGAAGUCAGAUAUUACAUGGCUCCAACCUGUGUCUUGAUCAGCUGUACAUUCCAUGGUCACUGAAUGGUCUCUUUAAUUUGUGAUUGAACUGACAACUUUAUAAUGUACAUGGGCUUCUUAUAGCAGCAUUGGAAGUAUCACUUUAAUUUUGAU